UACGUAGGGUGCGAGCGUUAAUCGGAAUUACUGGGCGUAAAGUGUGCGCAGGCGGUCGUUCAAGUCGAGUGUGAAAGCCCCCGGCUCAACUGGGGAGGGUCACUCGAUACUGAUCGACUCGAAGGCAGGAGAGGGUAGUGGAAUUCCCCGGUGUAGUGGUGAAAUGCGUAGAUAUCGGGAGGAACACCAGUGGCGAAGGCGACUACCUGGCCUGUUUCUUGACGCUGAGGCGCGAAAGCUAGGGGAGCAAACGGG
rnacentral:rRNA from 1 species